ACGACGGCAACGUUAAAACUCAAAGGAAUAGACGGGGACCUACACAAGCGGUGGACCAUGUGGCUCAAUUCGACAACAAGCGAAGAACCUUACCAGGGCUAGAAACUCCAAUGAAACUCUGAUGAAAGUCAGAGCUACCCACAAGGACAUUGGGGCAGGUGCUGCACGGCUGUUGUCAGCAGGUAUCUUGAGACGCAUGCUUAGAUGCCAAAACCUGCGCAACCCUUAUCGUGUGUUUUAUCUGUCACACGAAACUGCCCGGGAUAACCGGGAGGAAGGCGAGGAUGACACCAAGUCAGCGUGGCCCUUUGAUGCCCUGGGCUGCACACGUGGUACAAUGGCCGGAACAAUGGGUUGCUAAGCCGCAAGGCGGAGCUAAUCCCAUCAAAUCCGGUCUUAGUUCGGAUUGAGGUCUGCAACCUGACCUCAUGAAGCCGGAAUCGCUAGUAAUCGCCAAUCAGCCACGUGGCGAUGAAUACGUUCCUAGGUCUUGUACUCAC
rnacentral:rRNA from 1 species